UAAUGAGUAUGCGGAACGAAUAGGGUUUUUCCAAAUAAUAUAGACAUUCGUCAGCUGAAAAGACGUAUAAACAGAGGGUGAAAGUAGAUUUAAUUUCUUACGGGUACGGGAUAUCCAAGUGCGCGCACUCUAUAAUAAAAAAUACAGGGUAGCCUACUCUGCUGACACUGACAAACAGAUCAAUAAAAACGAUGUCUGAUCCAUAUUAUAAUUAGCCUACGAAAAGGGGAGACAGAAAUACAAUAUGACCUCCAUCUAACCUGGAGGAGGAAAUUAUUGUAAAAAAAAACAACUAAAAACUAAAGCGACACUGACCCAUUGACAAAGUUAUUAGGCCUACACUUGUAGCUGAAUUGAUGCAUCCACGGAUGUCCACGCGCGCCACGUUCUCGGCCACUGGUCUCCGCCUUGUCCGGGCGUUUCGGCCACGCAUCUCUGCCUUGUCAACAUAUCCCUCCUGCCCCUGCAACCUGACUACACCGCUGUCCCCUGGGUCACUCACCAUCCUGGAUCCGCGCCCGGAUGAGGCGGAUAGCUCCACCCCUUGCCCUGGCCAAGAACUCCCCUAGUUCUGGCGUCACGACGAGAACCAGAAACAUGGCAGUUCAGCACCAAGCACUAGAAAAAGUCAUGAAUUUGGGGUUGAACUGAAGGCAGGUGACGGGACCCGUGUGCUUCCCAUCCAGAACAGCCACCUUCAUCCCACUCUCUGCAUUCCACAUGUGGAUCUUCCCAUCCUCAGAGCCUGAGAGACAACCACCAUCAGACCACGGAAAAUCAAGAGGAAGCUUAACUACUGUUUUAGUGUGUGUAAUGUUUCCAGGUUAGGUUAAAUUAGCAGUUUCAAAUAAUUACUACCAAAUUGUUCUAUGGUAGAAUAAGAAGACAAUUGGAACUUUCAUGUCUUACUUUACAGAACAUAGAGCCUGUUACCUCACGUUCCUUGUGGACUUACCGAUCAUAAUAAACUGAGAGUCAGGAGUGAAGGAGGCCUCCAGCGUCA